rnacentral:rRNA from 1 species
GACGAACGCUGGCGGCGUGCUUAACACAUGCAAGUCGAGCGGAGCGGCGAACGGGCGAGUAACGCGUGAGUAACUGCCCCCCCCUCUGGGAUCACAGUUGGAAACGGCUGCUAAUCCCGGAUAGUGGGGGAUGACUCGCGUCCUAUAAGCUUGUUGGUGGGGUAGUGGCCUACCACGGCGACGACGGGUAGCCGGCCUGCGAGGGCGACAGGCCACAUUGGGCUGAGAUAGGGCACAAACUCCUACGGGAGGGGGCAGUGGGGAAUAUUGCACAAUGGGGGAAACCCUGAUGCAGCGACGCCGCGUGCGGGAUGACGGACUUCGGGUUGUAAACCGCUUUCAGCCAUGACGCGGUAGUGGCAGAAGAAGCACCGGCUAACUACGUGCCAGCAGCCGCGGUAAUAC